AUUGAACGCUGGCGGCAGGCCUAACACAUGCAAGUCGAGCGGAUGAAGGGAGCUUGCUCCUGGAUUCAGCGGCGGACGGGUGAGUAAUGCCUAGGAAUCUGCCUGGUAGUGGGGGAUAACGUCCGGAAACGGGCGCUAAUACCGCAUACGUCCUGAGGGAGAAAGUGGGGGAGCUUCGGACCUCACGCUAUCAGAUGAGCCUAGGUCGGAUUAGCUAGUUGGUGGGGUAAAGGCCUACCAAGGCGACGAUCCGUAACUGGUCUGAGAGGAUGAUCAGUCACACUGGAACUGAGACACGGUCCAGACUCCUACGGGAGGCAGCAGUGGGGACUAUUGGACAAUGGGCGAAAGCCUGAUCCAGCCAUGCCGCGUGUGUGAAGAAGGUCUUCGGAUUGUAAAGCACUUUAAGUUGGGAGGAAGGGCAGUAAGUUAAUACCUUGCUGUUUUGACGUUACCAACAGAAUAAGCACCGGCUAACUUCGUG
rnacentral:rRNA from 1 species